GACGAACGCUGGCGGCGUGCCUAAUACAUGCAAGUGGGACGCAGGGAACACACUGUGCUUGCACACCGUGUUUUCUUGAGUCGCGAACGGGUGAGUAACGCGUAGGUAACCUGCCUAUUAGCGGGGGAUAACUAUUGGAAACGAUAGCUAAUACCGCAUAAUAUUAAUUAUUGCAUGAUAAUUGAUUGAAAGAUGCAAGCGCAUCACUAGUAGAUGGACCUGCGUUGUAUUAGCUAGUUGGUAAGGUAAGAGCUUACCAAGGCGACGAUACAUAGCCGACCUGAGAGGGUGAUCGGCCACACUGGGACUGAGACACGGCCCAGACUCCUACGGGAGGCAGCAGUAGGGAAUCUUCGGCAAUGGACGAAAGUCUGACCGAGCAACGCCGCGUGAGUGAAGAAGGUUUUCGGAUCGUAAAGCUCUGUUGUAAGUCAAGAACGUGUGUGAGAGUGGAAAG
rnacentral:rRNA from 1 species